CUGUAUAGAUGCAUGGAAAAAUAACACAAGGAAUGGCUGGCGUGCCUGUCUCUCUGGAGUGGGAUUGUAGGGAAAAAUGGUGUUCAGGGUUUAGUUUAUAAACAUCUAUAUUGAAUUUAUGAUCUGAGGAUAUAUCAUACUUUAAUUACUAAAAAACUAAAAGUAAAAUGUUUAUUUUAUUCAAUGCAGUAAAUCAAGAUUUUACUCCAGCUGCCCAGUUUGUUCUGAUUGGCAUACAACUUUGUAGACUGACAGGGAAAGAAGUCCAAGAUGUGGGAAGUAAACACACAUGUUGUGGAACAAGUUGCAGAGCAUGAUUCCACCUGUGUUUCCAACAUAUGUGU